rnacentral:rRNA from 1 species
AUUGAACGCUGGCGGCAGGCCUAACACAUGCAAGUCGAACGAGUGGCGGACGGGUGAGAAAUGUCUGGGAAACUGCCUGAUGGAGGGGGAUAACUACUGGCAACGGUAGCUAAUACCGCAUACCAUCAGAUGCGCCCAGAUGGGAUUAGCUAGUUGGUGGGGUAACGGCUCACUCGGGCGACGAUCCCGAGCUGGUCUGAGAGGAUUACCCGCCACACUGGAACGGAGACACGGUCCAGAGUCAUGCGGGAGGCAGCAGUGGGGAAUAUGGCACAAUGGGCGCAAGCCUGAUGCAGCCAUGCCGCGUGUAUGAAGAAGGCCUUCGGGUUGUAAAGUACUUUCAGCGGGGAGGCGUUACCCGCAGAAGAAGCACCGGCUAACUCCGUGCCAGCCGCCGCGGUAAUAC